GAAAUGCGAUAAGUAAUGUGAAUUGCAGAAUUCAGUGAAUCAUCGAAUCUUUGAACGCAAAUUGCGCCCUUUGGUAUUCCGAAGGGCAUGCCUGUUUGAGUGUCUUAUAAACCUCACCCCUAAUGUUUUAUUACAAUAGGUUGGUGCUUUGGGUGUUGCCAUUUACCUGGCUCGCCUUAAAUGUCUAAGUGGAAUGCGUAAUAAGUUCUCGCAACCCUCCACUCUAAUACAAUUUAUAUUCUGACCUCAAAUCAGGUAGGACUACCCGCUGAACUUAA
rnacentral:misc_RNA from 1 species